AUGGCUGCCCACCGGACCCGGGACUACCCUAUAAUCCAUGGCAUUAGGGCCAGGCCCCGAAAAAUCUCGUCCCCCACAGGCUCCAAAGACCUGCAGGUGGUGAACAUCUCCCUGUGAGUGCUGUCUCACCCAAUGCCCAGGAGCUCCCCAGCAUAUACCAGUGCCUCGGGCUGGACUUCAAGGAGCAAGUGCUGCCAUCCAUCGUCAAUGAGGUGCUCAACAGGGUGACGACCAAGUUCAAUGCCUCACAGCUCAUCACCCAGAGAGCCCAGGUCUCUCUGCUGAUCCGGCGCGAGCUGACAGAACGGGCCAAGGACUUCAGCCUCAUCCUGGACGAUGUGGCCAUCACAGAGCUGAGCUUCAGCCGAGAGUACAUGGCCACUGUGGAAGCCAAGCAAAUGGCCCAGCAAGAGGCCCAGCGGGCCCAGUUCUUGGUGGAAAAGGCCAAAGAGGAACAGAGACAGAAGAUUGUGCAGGCCGAGGGCGAGGCUGAGGCCACCAAGAUACUUGGAGAGGGACUGAGCAAGAACCCCGGCUACAUCAAACGGUACAAGAUCCGGCUGCUCAAAACAUCUCCAAGACGGUCGCUGCGUCACAGAACCAAAUAUAUCUCACAGCAGACAACCUCAUGCUGAACCUACACGAUGAGAGUUUCUCGGGGAAGUGACAGCCUCAGCAAGGGUAAGAAAUGA